UUCAAUCACUUGAUUUUGCACAGAAGUCUCGUAGAAACCCAUUUUCAUUUCAAUUUCUUUUACAGAAGCCACGCCCACCAGCGACGGACCAACAACCACCAGCAAUGUCUCUAUUCUUCUCUAUAAAAAAUCUCUAUUUGCAGCUACAAAGCUGGUUGGAGAAGAUGAAGAGAAGCAAGUUGUUGGCGGUCGUUGCAGUCACUGGAGAAGAGGCAGACGCGGAGCAGAGGCAGUUAUCCUCGUGAAAAAGAUGACCAACGAACUUUCUUCGUCGAAUCUCCGUUCGCGAGGGGAAAAGGAUAUCCAAAUCAAGCUUGGUAGGCACUUGCCUAGCACGAGGGAGCUUCGGUUCAUAAUACUCACCUGGUGAAAAACUAGUUCGUGGGUGGACAGUAGUCCACAAGUUGAUGAUAUGGUAUUGUUAGAGUUUGGUAGACAAGUGCUUGAUUCGAGAGAGCUACGGCUAUGAGCUCGGUAAGGAUUAAGCUUGGAUGAGGGUGAGCCAGUGUAGAUUGACCUUAGAAGGGUAGUUAUGUGUAUGGAGCAAUCUUGAACAACAGAUCCGUAAGGGUUUGUGUUGAGGGCAAAAAAAGAGGGUUUGAUUUUAUAUUUAGAUUUUGUUACCUUAUUUAUCUUGAGAUGUAUGGGCGCUUAAGCCCUAAUGUGAAUGUUUAAUGAAUGGUGAUGUAAAUAUUUAUAUUGGCCUCUGUUGUUAUUAAAUGUUCGGUAUCAAAGCCUGUAUAAAAAAAUAU